rnacentral:rRNA from 1 species
UUUGGAGGGCAAGUCUGGUGCCAGCAGCCGCGGUAAUUCCAGCUCCAAUAGCGUAUAUUAAAGUUGUUGCAGUUAAAAAGCUCGUAGUUGAAUUUCGGGAUCAAAUUGUUGGUCGUGCUUCGGUACGCACUGGCAUUAUUGGUUCCUACCUUCUGAAGAACCGCGAUGUCAUUAAUUUGGUGUCGUGGGGAAUCAGGACUGUUACUUUGAAAAAAUUAGAGUGUUUAAAGCAGGCUUACGCUUGAAUACAUUAGCAUGGAAUAAUGAAAUAGGACGUUUGAUUCUAUUUUGUUGGUUUCUAGGAUCGACGUAAUGAUUAAUAGGGAUAGUUGGGGGCAUUAGUAUUCAAUUGUCAGAGGUGAAAUUCUUGGAUUUAUUGAAGACUAACUACUGCGAAAGCAUUUGCCAAGGAUGUUUUCAUUAAUCAAGAACGAAAGUUAGGGGAUCGAAGACGAUCAGAUACCGUCGUAGUC